GAUGAACGCUGGCGGCGUGCCUAAUACAUGCAAGUCGAGCGAACAGACGAGGAUCUUGCUCCUCUGACGUUAGCGGCGGACGGGUGAGUAACACUUGGAUAACCUACCUAUAAGACUGGGAUAACUUCGGGAAACCGGACCUAAUACCGGAUAAUAUAUUGAACCGCAUGGUUCAAUAGUGAAUGAUGGUUUUGCUGUCACUUCUAUAUGUAUCCGCGCCGCAUUAGCUUGUUGGUAAGGUAACGGCUUACCAAGGCGAUGAUGAGUAGCCGACCUGAGAGGGUGAUCGGCCACACUGGAACUGAGACACGGGCCAGACUCAUACGGGAGGCAGCAGUAGGGAAUCUUGCGAAAUGGGAGAAAGCCUGACGGAGCAACGCCGCGUGAGUGAUGAAGGUCUUCGGAUCGUAAAACACUGUUAUUAGGGAAGAACAAAUGUGUAAGUAACAAUGCACGUCUUGACGGUACCUAAUCAGAAAGCCACGGCUAACUACGUG
rnacentral:rRNA from 1 species